UACGUAGGGUGCGAGCGUUAAUCGGAUUUACUGGGCGUAAAUCGUGCGCAGGCGGCCCGUUAAGACAGGUGUGAAAUCCCUGGGCUCAACCUAGGAAUUGCGCUUGUGACUGGCGGGCUCGAGUACGGUAGAGGGGGGUGGAAUUCCUGGUGUAGCAGUGAAAUGCGUAGAGAUCAGGAGGAACACCGAUGGCGAAGGCAGCCCCCUGGGCCUGUACUGACGCUCAUGCACGAAAGCGUGGGGAGCAAACAGG
rnacentral:rRNA from 1 species